UACGUAGGGUGCGAGCGUUGUCCGGAAUUAUUGGGCGUAAAGAGCGUGUAGGCGGUUAGGUAGGUCCGUUGUGAAAACUCGAGGCUCAACCUCGAGACGCCGAUGGAAACCAUCUGGCUAGAGUCCGGAAGAGGAGAGUGGAAUUCCUGGUGUAGCGGUGAAAUGCGCAGAUAUCAGGAAGAACACCUAUGGCGAAGGCAGCUCUCUGGGACGGUACUGACGCUGAGACGCGAAAGCGUGGGGAGCGAACAGG
rnacentral:rRNA from 1 species